rnacentral:rRNA from 1 species
AAGGCUACGGCUCAACCGUAGUAAGCUCUUGAAACUGGGAGACUUGAGUGCAGGAGAGGAGAGUGGAAUUCCGAGUGUAGCGGUGAAAUGCGUAGAUAUUAGGAGGAACACCAGUUGCGAAGGCGGCCCUCUGGACUGUAACUGACGCUGAGGCACGAAAGCGUGGGGAGCAAACAGGAGUAGAUACCCUGGUAGUCCAC